GUUGCAAUUUCUAUUAAUCCCUAUCAGGGAUUGAAAC
rfam:Nostoc sp. PCC 7107, complete genome.